rnacentral:rRNA from 1 species
UACGGAGGGUGCGAGCGUUGUCCGGAAUCACUGGGCGUAAAGGGCGCGUAGGCGGCCUGAUAAGUAGGGGGUGAAAUCUCGGAGCUUAACUCCGAAACUGCAUUCGAUACUGCCGUGCUUGAGGACUGGAGAGGAGACUGGAAUUUACGGUGUAGCGGUGAAAUGCGUAGAUAUCGUAAGGAAGACCAGUGGCGAAGGCGGGGUCUCUGGACAGUUCCUGACGCUGAGGCACGAAGGUCAGGGGAGCAAACGGG